CAAUGGGGGGAACCCUGAUGCAGAGACGCCGCGUGGGGGAUGACGGCCUUCGGGAUGUAAACCUCUUUCAGUAGGGAAGAAGCCUUUGGGUGACGGUACCUGCAGAAGAAGUACCGGCUAACUACGUGCCAGCAGCCGCGGUAAUACGUAGGGUACAAGCGUUGUCCGGAAUUAUUGGGCGUAAAGAGCUCGUAGGUGGUUUGUCGCGUCUGCUGUGGAAUCGUGCCGCUUAACGGUGCGCGUGCAGUGGGUACGGGCAGACUGGAGUGCAGUAGGGGAGUCUGGAAUUCCUGGUGUAGCGGUGAAAUGCGCAGAUAUCAGGAGGAACACCGGUGGCGAAGGCGGGACUCUGGGCUGUUACUGACGCUGAGGAGCGAAAGCAUGGGGAGCGAACAGGAUUAGAUACCCUGGUAGUCCAUGCCGUAAACGUUGGGAACUAGGUGUGGGGUCCAUUCCACGGAUUCCGCGCCGUAGCUAACGCAUUAAGUUCCCCGCCUGGGGAGUACGGCCGCAAGGCUAAAACUCAAAGGAAUUGACGGGGGCCCGCACAAGCGGCGGAGCAUGCGGAUUAAUUCGAUGCAACGCGAAGAACCUUACCAAGGCUUGACAUGCACUGGAAUCGCCUAGAGAUAGGUGCGCCCUUUGGGGCUGGUGUACAGGUGGUGCAUGGUUGUCGUCAGCUCGUGUCGUGAGAUGUUGGGUUAAGUCCCGCAACGAGCGCAACCCUCGUUCUAUGUUGCCAGCACGUGAUGGUGGGAACUCAUAGGAGACUGCCGGGGUCAACUCGGAGGAAGGUGGGGAUGACGUCAAAUCAUCAUGCCCUUUAUGUCUUGGGCUUCACGCAUGCUACAAUGGUCGGUACAGAGGGUGGCGAUGCCGUGAGGUGGAGCGAAUCCCUUAAAGCCGGUCUCAGUUCGGAUCGUAGUCUGCAACUCGACUACGUGAAGUCGGAGUCGCUAGUAAUCGCAGAUCAGCAACGCUGCGGUGAAUACGUUCCCGGGCCUUGUACACACCGCCCGUCAAGUCACGAAAGUCGGUAACACCCGAAGUCCGGUGGCCUUAACCUGUGUGGGGGAGCC
rnacentral:rRNA from 1 species